GUAGGAAGGAGAGGGACGGACCGACGGAUGGAAGGAUGGAUGACUGGAUGUGUCAGCAUGUGACAAGCAGAUCCAAAUCCCACUUAACACAGAAGGUCUGUGCCCUAAGACCCUGAAGACAGCCCAUGCUGGUGGCCUUCGCCUGGGCCUCCCUCAAACUCCUUGUAGCCUAUCAGCCACAUUCCCUGGGAAGGCAGCGUGCCCUCAGACCCAGAGCCCUGUCUCACCCCGGAGCGUCCGAGGGUGGCAUGUCUGGUCCUCUCUGACCCCACCCAGGGCCCAGGCCCAGGCCAAGCCAAGAACAUAGGGCUUGCUGAGGGCUUGCUGAGCACACAGACGGGGCGGGCGUCCAGGAGACCUUGGGCUUGAGCUCCAUUUAGAGCAGCAGAACUCUGGCCCUGCCAGGUCUCUCUCUCCCCAAGGUCCUGCCAGGACUCCCUCAGACAUGGGGGGCCUUGGGCAUCUGAAAAACUGCAAGGGUCCCAGCCCCUUCCCUGGGCCCCUGUCACCUCAUCUUCCCUGAGGCAGCCCCAGUCCUGCGAGAGGGCACCCCACUGUCCCGACCCCGAGGGCGCGUGGAAAGGAAGGCCUGGGCUCGUGCCCACCUGUGCGGGAGUGGGUCUGGCAGACUCUCAGUGUCUUGCAGAUUGCCGGGAGCCACUUCCCUGGCUGGUGCUGGACCUACCGCAGGAGGACCUGGAGGAAGACGCCCCAGGAGCCAGCCUGUGGCCCACCACGGUCACCUUGCUCACCCUCUUCCUACUGAGUCUCUUCUACAGCACAGCACUGACAGUGACAAGUGUGCGGGGCCCAGCCGACAGCAGAGAGGGCCCCCAGUACUGAGCAGAAGCCAGCCAGGCACACAGGGAGGAGGCUGGAGGAGCUUCUGGGAAGCCCAGCUGGAUGUCAGAGCUCAGCGCUGCUCAGAAACUGCCCGCCCACCCCCACACACAGGUCCUGCUGGCACAAUAAACUGAUCCCAAAGGCAAA